UACGUAGGUGGCAAGCGUUAUCCGGAUUUAUUGGGCGUAAAGAGAACGCAGGCGGUCUUUUAAGUCUGAUGUGAAAGCCUUCGGCUUAACCGGAGUAGUGCAUUGGAAACUGGGAGACUUGAGUGCAGAAGAGGAGAGUGGAACUCCAUGUGUAGCGGUGAAAUGCGUAGAUAUAUGGAAGAACACCAGUGGCGAAAGCGGCUCUCUGGUCUGUAACUGACGCUGAGGUUCGAAAGCGUGGGUAGCAGACAGG
rnacentral:rRNA from 1 species